CCCACCGAUGGGAGCUCCCCUUGCGUUCCGCUGCCGCCCCGAGACGUCGUCUUCCCUUUCGAUCUCCGCCCAGCACGAGCCCGGCCGUACCAUCUAAGCUACGCCCACUACAAGCUAUGCCCAGAUUAUAAUCGCCUCUCAUCCCCCACCCCAUCGAACCCAACUCCAUAGCCGCCGCAUCACAUUGCCCCCAUGUCUCAGAUCCAGCAUCUAGGAACCUCCAUCGGCCGGCUCUUCGACUCUCCAGGUUGGCUUUCUCGUCCUGUACUCCCACUCUACGGUCAUAGAGGGGACACCAAUGCACACGAAUCUGAAGUAUUUUCCCUUCCACGGGAAGAAUUCAGUGAUACUGUAGCUCGCCAGUCGACGGUUUCAUGCGUCCGGUGACCUCUCUCUCCAUGCAUCUUCUAUACAAUCCUCAUGAGUAUUAUCUCAUUGGAUCGUGUAUCUGCCAUCUUAUCAUUUCAUAGCUACAUCUCACAGUUUAAACUUGUUACGUGGUAUAUGCACCAGAAAUAUUUGCCGUCACGGCCAAAGUAACCUCUCUGAGUUUCUGAACUGCAUCUGCAUGUACAACACUGCCAGCGCAAGUCUUCUGUAAGUCUACAAUUUCGUUUUGAUGCUUGUUCUAAAUAUCACAUUCACAUUAGAGUUCAUUUGUGGUCUAUUUGUCUAUAUUGUAGUAUCUGCUGCACUUGAACAGGUUUUGAAACCUAUAGUAUCUUGGGUUAUCACUGGACAAUGCGCAGCAAACAGAAAAUAUAACAGUGGCAAAGAGCUGUUCCAUCAUACUAGAAAAUACUACCAGGAUAUUGGAUGAUCAUUGAGGAAUCAGCAAAUCGAGUGUGGAUGUAAAAGAUAUUGUGUAUCGGCUUAUCUACAUUAAAGAACUAAGAAGACACAAAUGAGAGUGAAGGAAGCGCCUCAGGGGGUGAGGAUGUUGCGACUGGCGAGAGUAUUGGAGGAAAGGUACAGCUUGCCUCCCACAUUCAAACCUCCAGAGGCUGCAUCCACCAAGAAAGUUAAAAGAAUUUUAAUAUAAGCACUUCUCCCAGGCUCCCAAGGUUGCAUUUCAGUACUGUGAUGUGCCGUCGAGAGGGGCAAUGGCGAGAGGAUUUGGUCAAAGAGAGAGAAAAGAGAAUGAUAUAGAUGGUGAGAUUGAAUGCAGCUUCCAGUGACGUUGAGAUUAAAAGUCACCGCUGGACUUUGGCGACAUCUCGUCAUCCAAAGCCAAUCCAACGGACAGGAGUUGAGCAAUCAAAAAUUCCCCCACCAUUAGUCGUUUCCAGCCUGAAAUUGUAUUUAAUCACAAACCUUGAAUUCACUGAAACUUCCCAAGAAUGCAUAAUGCAAAUUAUAUGAUUUGCUGAAUUUAUUUCAAAAUUUUAUGUGAAGUAUGAAUUUUGAGUUCAAAUUCUGCCCGUGAAAUUAACAUGAGGUUUAUUCACAAACCGUAUGCUCAAAUCAGACGAAACAUUCGUAAUGUAUAGCAUUUACUGGAUAUUUUAAAUUUUUCGUGGCAAUAUAAAUUUUGAGUUUAAAAUUUGGUCUUGGAACAUAAAAUGAGAUUUACUUACUAACUUUAUCCUCAAAUUGGACGAAAAUUACUGGAUUGUUUUUGUUUAUUUUAGGCAGUUCAAAUUUUGAGAAUUUAGUUCUUUAGUAGGAUUUCAACAGCUUUUUAGCCAGAUUUCAGCACCGUUUUUCACCAUUUUCAGUUAUUUUAGCUUCAAUUGUAAUAGUCCAGAUUGUAGGUCUUUUAUUUUUAUAUUACUGCAAACUAAAAUAUUUACUAACUUGCUUGCCAAAAAUAUUAUACGUCUGUUAUAGCCUAUGAGAACAUCUUAUAAGAGGUGAUAGGCGAAUAUUUUACUAAGAAAUCGAGUGAAAGUACAUCACCAUAUAAAUCUAAUAUUGUUGAGUUUCUUGCAUGAGCCUACAAAGCUACUUUAAGUGAUGAUUUGCUUCAGACCAGUCUGCUUUGGGAUGAGGAGUGCACCUGAAGUACACAUUCAGAAAUGUGGUGUGUAAACUCCGUGGGCUAUAGUGGUUUAUGUUCCUAUGUGACAACUAUUAUUUUAAAGUUAUUUAUGUGUUGGUCUUGAUUACAUGUUUUGUAACCUGUGGGCUGUAAUAGUUUAUAUUCCUAUGUGUCAACUAUUACUUUG